rnacentral:rRNA from 1 species
GAUUACGCUGGCGGCAUGCCUAAUACAUGCAAGUCGAACGGAAAAUAUAUAGAUGCUUGCAUUUAGAUAUUUUAGUGGCGAACGGGUGAGUAACGCGUAUGCAACCUACUUGUAAACGGGAGACAACCUGGAGAAAUUUGGGCUAAACUUCCAUGAGGCAUUAUUACUGCAUGGUAAUGAUGUCAAACGUAAGGUUUACAAAUGGGCAUGCGUAUGAUUAGCUAGUUGGUAGGGUAAUAGCCUACCAAGGCGACGAUCAUUAGGGGUUCUGAGAGGAAGGUCCCCCACAUUGGAACUGAGAUACGGUCCAAACUCCUACGGGAGGCAGCAGUGAGGAAUAUUGGUCAAUGGACAGAAGUCUGAACCAGCCAAGUCGCGUGAAGGAAGAAGGUCUUACGGAUUGUAAACUUCUUUAGCAGGGGAAUAAAAGACGAUACGAGUUAUCGUGUUGAAAGUACUUUGCGAAAAAGGAUCGGCUAACUCCGUG